CCCAUCUCACCGGUCCGCCACCGUCAGCCUCCACAGAAGUCACCGCCCGCGGUCUCCUCUGCAACCGUCAUCCUCCACCUCCGCCGCCUCGGCCGCCCGCCGUCUCCCUCUCACCUGGUGCUCGUCACGCUGCCUCGCCGUCGAUCGGUGACCUCCCUACUCCGUUCAAUCGGGAAUUUAUGCUUGCCCUGGCUGCUAGAGUUGUUCUAUUGAGUCUCGGGCCAGGAUGGAAUAAGUAACGUUCGGGCCGUCCUCCGAUUGAAGAACUGAGGCCCACAGCCGGGGCGAUCCUGCUGUUGUCCCACGAAUACGAGACAAGCGACGGCGAGGCGAGGAGGAACGGAGAAGAGGGGUGGUCCUCUUCCUUUCGUGGCCGCCUGCCGCUCUGCAAGGUAAAAAAAUUUCACCGGUGAGUAAAAUGGGACGGGGACCAACGUAAAUCCAAAAGAUACAAAGAUUAAAUAUUAUACCGUCAGGACCCGAGACAUCAAAAUCUGAUUGAUUGGAGCUGACGCUUUGGAAGAAGCGUUGGGUAUUCAGAUGAUGCACCUGCUCUGCUUUUCUGGCGAUUUCUUUCAGAUCCCGCAGCGAUGGUUUCUUUCACGGUGGACACAAAUCUGGCCGAAGUUGUCCCCACCGAGGCUGUCUUUUCUCUGCGAAAAUGGACAGGAUCAAGAGGUACUUUCUUUUGCUGAGCUUCCAAAAUUUGGCUAGAGAGAAACUUAGUACCGUGAUAAUUGGCUCGAAGGAAGGUUCUCGUAUUCUUUUAAUUCCUGUAUAUUAAUGCACGUAAGCAUCACUUCUUCUCUCUCUCUCUCUCUCUCUCUCU
rnacentral:lncRNA from 1 species